rnacentral:rRNA from 1 species
CCUACGGGAGGCAGCAGUGAGGAAUAUUGGUCAAUGGGCGAGAGCCUGAACCAGCCAAGUCGCGUGAAGGAUGACGGCCCUACGGGUUGUAAACUUCUUUUGUCAGGGAGCAAUUGAGUCCACGUGUGGGCUUAGCGAGAGUACCUGAAGAAAAAGCAUCGGCUAACUCCGUGCCAGCAGCCGCGGUAAUACGGAAGGUCCGGGCGUUAUCCGGAUUUAUUGGGUGUAAAGGGAGCGUAGGCCGGCUUUUAAGUCAGCUGUGAAAGUCCGCGGCUCAACCGUGGAAUUGCAGUUGAAACUGGAGGACUUGAGUGCAAAGAGGGAUAGCGGAAUUCAUGGUGUAGCGGUGAAAUGCUUAGAUAUAAUGAAGAACACCGAUCGCGAAGGCAAGUGUCCGGGGUGCAACUGACGCUGAGGCUCGAAAGUGCGGGUAUCAAACAGGAUUAGAUACCCGAGUAGUC